AGUGAACGCUGGCGGUAGGCCUAACACAUGCAAGUCGAACGGCAGCACAGUAAGCGCUUGCUCUUACGGGUGGCGAGUGGCGGACGGGUGAGGAAUACAUCGGAAUCUACUUUUUCGUGGGGGAUAACGUAGGGAAACUUACGCUAAUACCGCAUACGACCUACGGGUGAAAGCAUGGGAUCUUCGGACCUUGCGCGAUUGAAUGAGCCGAUGUCGGAUUAGCUAGUUGGCGGGGUAAAGGCCCACCAAGGCGACGAUCCGUAGCUGGUCUGAGAGGAUGAUCAGCCACACUGGAACUGAGACACGGUCCAGACUCCUACGGGAGGCAGCAGUGGGGAAUAUUGGACAAUGGGCGCAAGCCUGAUCCAGCCAUACCGCGUGGGUGAAGAAGGCCUUCGGGUUGUAAAGCCCUUUUGUUGGGAAAGAAAAGCAGCAGGUUAAUACCACGCUGUUCUGACGGUACCCAAAGAAUAAGCACCGGCUAACUUCGUG
rnacentral:rRNA from 1 species